UAUGCAAUUCCAUCAACCUCGGAGUGGAGAGAGUUGCUUUUUUUAGCAACCGCUCAGAUACAACGGGUCAUUCAAGCCUGCACAUCUGCCCUCAGAGGAUACAGAAUAGAAAACAGAAGACGAGGACUGGAGCUGAAUCCCAAUAUGCCUCCCGAGCCGACUCCUUCAUGUGCAGAGGCUGGGCGGGGCGAUCCUGAUUAGAGAGCAUCACUCACACUCCUCCGCACCUGACGCGGAUUCACAAUCAGCGAUGGAUAAAGCCUGCUUCCACCUGUGUUCCAGCUCCAGUGGAUUGAUCUCCUCAGCGUAGUAACAAACCAGCGGUGCUUUGUGAACUUGGUGCUUUGCUUGAACUUUCCCUUGUCUCAUGUAUGUUCUCUCGUCUUUGCCUGCCAGAACCUCUCCGAAAAACCGCUGCAUUCUCCGCUCAGCUUAGCCUACAGAACCAGCCUCUGUCGUCUUGCCUCCCAGCUUCCCCGGGAAAUUCCCAGGAUUUCCCUCACCCCCUUGGCUACCCUCACAAGCUCCUCAGUGUCCCUUUGUGCACAAAUAAAUCCUUCUUGU